rnacentral:lncRNA from 1 species
AGAUAUUUGGUUUAUGAAAUGGCCUUGUUCCUUCAUGAGCUUAUUCCACUCCAUCAUGUAAUCAGGGUUACAUGUAUAGCCUGUUAGCUUCUCCAUUUCUACAAUCUCUUUCACCCUAUUGAUUGAUUGCUCCCUCAGCUUUUGAACAAGGUUGUGAGCAGCUCCUUUUGCGGAUACCUUGAGGUGAUAAUACAUUUCCGAGUGGCGCGUCAAAACAGACAUCACCACAUCGUCUAUGUAAUCCCAAUACUUUUCGCUGAAUUUGAUAGGGAGACACGAUAUCCUCUCGACUUUUCUCCGUAAGAUACGAAGGAAUGCUUCACAGGGAAGGAAGUUCGGUAGUUCGAUCCCCCUAGCAUCUUCCAAACCCUUGAUCUCUUCUGUUAAAAAGUCUUUUGAUAGAUUACUUUCCUCGCAGUUGUGAAGCUCAUCAGAGAGCCAGUUCAGCAUUUCAACAAACCGAGCAGUCCCGUGCUUCGUGUUGUCCUCGGGGUAUUCAUCAAAUUCCCCCCUCCAAAGAAGUUUCUUGAGGGAUUCUUUAGCUGCUUGAAUGAUCCUCAUCAUAGCUUGAGUGGCAUCAGCAAUAGAAGUUAAGGCCUUUGGCAUUUUCUCUAGCUCUGAAACAUUUGCAUCCAGCUUUGCACUAAUGUUUUUAACAAUCUCUGGCAAGCACUUUGCAAUUGCAUUAGCUUGAAUUCGGACAAGCUUUUGAGCCAAAACAUGAACACCCACAAUUGAUUUAUCAAUACGUGACAAAUGUGCAUUAGUUUCGAACAAUCUAGCCUCUUCCUUCCUUGCUUCUUCAUAGGAUUCAUCACCAAUCCGAUUCCGAACACAAACAUAACCAAGUCCUAUAUUCACAUCAUCUGCAGUAACCUUGUCAACAAGCCCUUCGGGGGCCCUAUCUACUUUAGUAACCACGGCAAGAGUUCUCUCACCAUUCUUGUCCACUUGUUGCGACAUCCUAAUGGAUUCACAAGUUGAAAAAUCAACCGUAGCCGACAGAACAUUAAGGAUAAUGCUUUCCUUUGGUGUUAUGUACUGCAUGAUGAUGUCCCGGAUCUGCUCAUAUAUGUUGUCGGGCUGACCAUGGACAGGAACUCUGGUAAUUCCAGGAAGAUCAACCAUGGUAAGAUCAGGAACCCCAUCUUUUCUCACCACCAAAGUCAAAGGGAUGUCAGAUAUGCUCUUACCCGGGCCUGCAACCUCAUCAGUUGCAAUGUUUAUGGCUGUUGCAAUCUGGGGUUCCUCCACUGGGACCGUUUUGCCAUUGUACUCCAAGUAGAGCUCUAGCCCUUGCCUUGCAUGGUUCUGCAACCUGAUUAUAAGAGGUACCCUGGUGCAAAUGCCCUGGCUACGAGGAAGGUUAACACCAGCCAAGGAUUCAAGAACACUAGACUUGCCUGAUGACUGGUCUCCAACCACAACAAUUGUGGGGAGCUGUAUGCCUUCUUUCAUCACCAUGAGCAGCCUGAGCCUGUCGAUGACAUCAAGCAAAGGUCGGAUUUUGUCAUUGUAUGAUGAAAUAAUUGGGGCUUGGGCUGCUGCUGCUCCCACCACCUUAGGUUCUUCCAUAGGAGGAGUUGCUGGUUGAGAAUCUUCAUAAUCAUUGAUGACACCAAUGCUCCCUGAAUCAGCUUCAUCAUAGCUACCCAUUUUUUAGAAGUCGAGACAGGAUGGGAAUUGGCCAAACUUGAUGUUUUAGAUGGUUUUUUUUGUUGGAAGUUGGAAAGCAAUAAACUUGAACUAAAGUGAAGACAAAUUCAAUGAAGCAUGUUUGGCUUUAUAAUGAAAAUUAAAAUAGGGUAAAGCACCGAAAUUAGGAACAAUAAAGCGAUAGCAUCCUAUACCAAACCCCAAGAAACAAGCAAACGAAGCUACAAUGGGAAUGGAAAACUUUAUGUUAUACUUUGAAUUGUAGAAAAUAAUGAUACAAGGACAGAAGAGAGGAAACAGAACAAAAUCAAAUCGUGACCAACCAAAAGAUGAGUGUGUCGAUGACAGAAAGUUCGAAACAUAAACAGCCCCACAAGUUCCUACAGGAACUAGACAGCAGAACUAUAUGAAACAAUGUAUUCACAUUGAAGUUUCGGAUAGAUGCCACGUACAAGCCAUGUUGCCAUUACCUCAUAUGCUCUUUGUGUCAAAUGAGCUCCAUCCCAACUAAGCUGUUCAUUAGGGUUUUCGCAUACCGGUACUUUUGGAUCUCCGCACCAACUUGAUAAGCCAGAAUUGUAGUCUUCCCCAAUUCCGCAGCAAGCUUUUUGCAAUGAUGUUGGAUCAAAACCAGAUGAGAUUUUUCGAAAACUCAGAACAUGACUAGAACCAUUCACAGUACGAUCACAUAAACUUAUGGAUGCAAAUAAAUCAGACUUACCAAGCAGAUCAGCUUUGCUCAAAAGCCACAGGAAUGCAUUGUAGUAGUCACCGUAGACAACGAUUACAUCUGGAUGUUUUUCUUUUAGCUGAUCAGCAAUAGCUUGUUGAAGAAGAUGAUUAUGAUAGAUUGAAAAAAAGGCUUGACUUCGUCCCUUUCGUAUACCUACUCUAAGACAAAAAAAAAAUCAUUUUAUUAAUUAAGCUUUUUGUUUAUUAAUAAUUUGUUUUUUUUUCAAAUUCAUUAAAUACAAUUAAAAACAUUUGGAAGAAAAAUCUAAUGGUAGACUAGAUAUAGUUAAGAUAAUAUCUAACAGAGAGAUCGAUGUUCGAGUAUUUGUUGAAGUUCCUACGUAACUUUUAAUAAUUUUACAAACGGAUAGAGAUAAUAGUUUAUUCGAACAUUUAUUUUUAAUAGAGUGAAGAAACCCAAUUAUUUAAUUUAUGGGUAAACUACAUAAAGGGUAACACAAGUAUAAAAAGUUACAAAAUGUUCAUCUAACUAUUCAAUAUUGUUUUUUUAGAUCACCCGGCUAACGGUGGCUACUUUUAAAAUUUGAAUAAUAGAAAUUUAACCCUCAACACUUAUAUAUUGUAUCAAUUUAGUCUUGAUUCUAAAAAAAAAUUUAACUCUCAACAUUUACACAUUGUAUAAUUUGGUCUCUCUUUUUGUAAUUUUGCUUUUCUUUGUGACAUUUAGUGUUAAUUUUAAAAGAAUAAGAAAAGAAAAAAAAUAUUAUCUUAGAUUUCUGGGUGCUCCUAUUUUUUAUAUAUUUUUAAUCAAAUUUAACUGAUAAAUUUAUUUUUAACUUUUUAAGUGAAAGGGUAAAGAAAAACAAAGUUGUACUAGAAAAAAGAAGAUCAAACUACCCAAUGUAUAAAUGUUGAUAGUUAAUUAUUUCUGGAAUCAAGAUUAAAUUGACAUAAUUUAUAAAUAUUGAGGGUUAAAGUUGAUAUUAUGCGAAUAUUAAAAGUUGCCACCGAUGAUCAGUAACCAAAAAAGACAAAACUGAAUAACUUAGUGAUCAUUUUGUAACUCUUCAUAAAUUUUAGUACAAAAUUAAGUGAAUGUUAACGUGUUUGAGGCAAAUCUCGAUGAACAUGUCAUGCAACGCAUAGCUAAAGGGGUAGAUAAGAGCUUUAGACCUCUUUUAGUUAAAUGGUAUCAUUAUGAUUAUAGUGCCUCUUAAAUGUCAAUUGUUUAAUUUAGUUCCUUUCUAGCUUUUAUUUAAAUGGAACAAUUGUAAUUUAGACCCUUUUCAAAUGUUUAAAUUUAAUUUCAGUUAUUUUAACGUAAAAUAUUUUAGCUUUGUCCCCUAUUUUUUUAAUUUUAUCUUGGCUCUUCAUCACAUAAUUCAUGACUGACAUAUAUGCCAUAGGUCAUAAGAUUGAGUCAAACUAUGCAAAAACUCUUUAGUUUCACCUGUUUGAGCACUUCAAGGCGUUCUCACUCUCUAAACCCACCAAGGAUCUAGACAAAGUCGGGAGACAAAACUCCGACUGGGGACAAUACUGGACUUGCUUAUAUCUGCUUUAUAGUUGUAUUUGUAGCAUACAAUGUAUAUUUUGUCAAAUUUGAAUACUUCUUGUUUGCUUGUCUAUUAUUCUUUUGAUAGAAGAUACAACUUUCUUUAUUUGUAUGUCCAUAUAAUUUGUUACAUUCGAUCUGUGAACCAUAUUUGACCUUCAUAUUGUCAACCAUGCCACUUGUUCAAUGGAAAAUUACCUUUGUUGAUUUGUUCUUGGUUGACAUUAAGUUCAAGGUUCGAAUCAGGAAAACCAAUCUCUCUCCCCUUAUUAUAUUUAUGUAUAUACAUGUAUUUGACCUUCAUGUUUGUUGGUGAGAAAAUGGUACAGAGUAAAUUGAAUUUUGCUUUUUGUUUGGUGUGUUUCCUAGGGAAAGCUUUAUGGAAGCCAACAAGAAUGGAAAUUUGGUUGAUGUUGAUCGGAAGGCGUUCGAAACUUGGAAAAAAUGAGCGAGGAGGUAUAGGUCCCUUGCUCCUCCCACUUUGUCAUAACUUUUCAUUGGAAGUUUUCUGUUGUAAUUUUGUAUUGAGUAUCGUCCCGAGUAUUUUCUUUAAUAGGAGAGGAAACCAUAUGUUACUCAGCCUACAUGAAGGAUAUGACUGAAGCGGAUAAAAAUAUUGUAAAGGUAACUGGGAUUCAGAGUUUAUGGAUGCUAAUUUCGUAUAAUUUAAACUUUCUAGAGCGACCUAAAUAUGUUGUUGGUGUAAUUGGUGAAAUUGUUUGUUGUGCUUUCAUAGCAAUGCUGAUACAUUCUGAAUAUUUGAUCAUGGAACUUGUUCCGUAGAUUCUUAAUUCAGAACUAUGAAUAGGGGCAUACUAAGGCAUACUAAAGAUGCAUGAUUUUGAACUCAUGAUCCUCUCAUCUUUACAUAAUCUAUGUUGCCACUCGGUUUUCUCCCUAUCGUUGUCAAUUAUUGUCAUCACAAUUGCUUUUCAAUGAUUUUUUCAGUUAGAAUUAGUAUCUUUUCCUUGUUUUGUCCACAAAAGCAAGAAUGAUAUAUGAUAGCUGUGAUUUAUCUGACAAUUAGCUUCUCUAAAUCUUUCACCCUAAUCAAUUGUCAAAAAUUUGCUGUUCUAGUGCUUAUUGGCUUCUCGUUUUUAACUUGAAAGUUAACUUAUCUAUUGUUCAAACAUCAAAAUGGAACAAAGUUUUGCAUCAUAUUCGAAGUUAUUAAUGAGUUAUUUUCUUUAGGUGGAUGAUGAGGCUGAUUCAGCAAUGGUUGGGAAAUUUGAUGAGGUUUGUAUAUAUGUUUGGAGCACAAAAAACAUAGCAAAUAUAGAUAAAUUUACGUAUUGUAUAUCUACUUGUGCUUAAACUAAGUCAUUCCCCUGCCAGUUGAGGCUCUGAAACCUUUGGGCACUGAAGUUCGAGUUUCACUAUGUAAAUCAUGUGUUGGUUCUCCCCCAGAUUUAUUUUGUUUACUUAGUUAGAGUUGAGUUAGCUUCAGUGAAUGUAACGAUUGAUUAUGUUAGUUCCCCCCUCUUUUGCCACCUCUUCUUCGUUGAAUUUACAGUUCUAUGAAGAUUAUGGGUACUAUGAAACAUCUGAUGAUGAUGGUGAACCAUACCACUCUGGAGGAUUCAAGAGCUUAAACACAACUGAACAGUAAUCGAAGUCUUCCCCACAUUUCAGUUCAAUUACCUAACUUAACCGCAAUCAUAUAUUGUGCACAAGACCGAUAAGUUAUGGCUUUCAUGAAGCAGGGAAACUGCUAUCGAGGGCGGAACUUGAAGAUGUUCUGGUUUUUGUUUCAUGUCAAUGGACCUUAUCCAACUGGCAAUGGUGGAAAAAAAAAGUUUGCCAUUUUGAUUCAUUUGUUAAGGCAAAUCAUUUGGCUAUUGUAAAGUAGUUAUAGGGGUUUUAGCCUUCGAAGCAGAUUGGUAUUUGUUUUGCUAUUUGGCAGUGGCAGUGGCAAUGGCAAUGGGGGUUUCACAGGUGAGUGGCAAGGGCUAUAGAGGAAGCAUCAUUUUGUCUAUAUUUUUUUAGUUUUAUGGAAUUUGGUUGAUGGAAUAGGUGAUAUGUUGGGUUGGAUAAAAUAAUCUAUAUUUUAUUGAAGUUAUGUUUGUUUUUAUCUGUUAGAAAAUUGAAGAAUGAUAUUAGAAAAUAUUUAGUCAAAUAAUUUGUAUUAAUAAUAGUUAAUUAUGCCUUUGUGGCUAAGCUCAUGGAAAUCAUUUAAAAAUAAAAUCUAAUAAAUAAUUAAACAUAUGAUUUAAAAUUAAUAAUAAUAACAAAGUAAUAUGUACGAAAUUUAAAUAGGUAAAUACAUUUGAUUAAGCUUUAUGUUCUGUUCUAAAUUUGGUUUCUUAAUACUUCUUCUGAAUAAGUUGGUGUCGAGUUGAUUCAUGAUACCAAUUUAGUCACAUGGUUAAAUAACUAUAUAGAUACAAAAGUUAAAUAUUUAAGAUGAUUGAUGCCUUCUGAACAUAACACCAUUUAAAUUUAUAUAAAUGUAUGAAAAUACGAAAAAUACUCAAUAACAAUAUUUAUUAAUAAUUUAAAUUUUGAUUUUUUUUAGUUUUCUUUUAUUCAAUUGGUGUCAAGUUAAAUCGUGACGCUGAUUCAGUUACAAUAUAUAGAAUAUGACGUGAGUGACAGACCAAUUUUAUUUAAAAUUUUAAUAUAAAAUAACAAUAAAGGUUUGAUUGAAACGGAAAAAUUAAAGAUUUAAGUUGCUUGAUGUCUUAUGUAAAGGUUUAAAUCGCAUCAUUUGCUUAUUUCCUUAAGUUUAAGUUGUUCCUUAUAACUUUUAUAAAAAUGUGUGAAAAUACAAAAACACCCUAUGAUAAUGUUUAUUAAUUGUUUAAAAUUUGAGUUUUUAGUACUUCUCUAAUUAAAUUAGUGUCGAGUUGAUUCGUAACAUCAACUCAAUCACACUUAAAUUAAAGUUUCCAUACAUAGAACACCAGGUGGGUGAGAGUGAUAGACGAGAUUUAUGAAAAAAAUUCAUGUAAAAUAACAAUGAAGUUUCGGUUAAAAUAAUAAAUUUAAUUUGUAAUAUUUAUAAUGAUAAAUUUACACAGAAUACUUGCCAUUUGCAUAUUUUUUAUAAGUUUAUUUUAUUUUUUAAAAUAAAGUUUAUAUAAAGGUAUGAAAUGCAAAACUACCUUAUAAUAAUAUUUAUUAAUCGUUAAAAUUUUGAUUUUUUUAAUACUUUGUCUAAUCGAGUUGGUGUCGAGUUAGUCAAUGAUAUAAUUUAGACAUAUAAUUAGACAACAGUGUAAAAGUGUAGAUACAUAGAUCACAAUGCGCGUGAUAAGCAAAUUUUAUGUAAAAAAAAACUCAUAUAAAUAUUAUAUUAAUAGAUGAGAACAUCUGUAUUUAAUAAUUAGACAACAGUGUAAAAAUGUAGACACAUAGAUUACAAUGGGCGUGAUAAGCAAAUUUUAUGUAAAAAAACUCAUAUAAAUAUUAUAUUAAUAGAUGAGAACAUCAGUAUUUAAAAAAAAAAAUCCAGAAAGCUGAUUGCAUACCAAGGCUUGGAACAUGGCAAUCAUGGUACACAAAAAAGCCAAAAAAAAUUUAGCAAUAAGAUUUCAUAAAGAUAUAAAUUGUUUACAACAGUAAAUUAACACAAGAAAAUAAAAAUAAAACAAAGUAGAAAACUAACCCCCACCCCCAAUUUGCCGUCCACAGUAGUUGUGACCUUAUUAUAUAAUCUUCAAUCCUUAAUAAUCUAUACUAUAUAUAUAGAACACAGACACUUAAAACAUGCAAUAAGCAAACCAUGAUAAUGACCCAAAUUUUAUGUGAAAAUAUUAAACCAAGCAAGCAUCAUAAGCAACAAUCCCAUCCAUGAUCUUGGCCACACUAUCUUUGGACUCCUUUAACACCUUGAUGCUGUUUUUAAGCUUCUCACGCUUUGCAACAAUGGCAGGAGAUUCCACCAGCAUCAUCUUUAUCCCAUGUCCAUCUGGUCCCAUCAGCUCCUUCACAAUCUCAUCAAUGUCAUUGUGUACAAGAUUAUGAACAUGGUAUCGUAAAUGCAAUGCCAUGGAAUCAACCAAUCUCACCUUAAAUACCUUCCAAUAAGCAACCAUUCUCAUCUUCAGGUCGAAAGCUUGUUGCAGGAUCGAAACAUCCGAGUGUUUUCUGAGAUGUUCGAUUUGGAUUUCCCCUAAACCUUCGAGAUCCACACUGCAAGGCAGCGGCCGCAUGUUUGUUCCAGAUAUUUGGUUCAUGAAAUGGUCUUGUUGCUUCAUGAGCUUAUUCCACUCCAUCAUGUAAUCAGGGUUACAUGUGUAGCCUGUUAGCUUCUCCAUUUCUACAAUCUCUUUCACCCUAUUGAUUGAUUGCUCCCUCAGCUUUUGAACAAGGUUGUGAGCAGCUCCUUUUGCGGAUACCUUGAGGUGAUAAUACAUUUCCGAGUGGCGCGUCAAAACAGACAUCACCACAUCGUCUAUGUAAUCCCAAUACUUUUCGCUGAGUUUGAUAGGGAGAUACGAUAUCCUCUCGACUUUUCUCCGUAAGAUACGAAGGAAUGCUUCACAGGGAAGGAAGUUCGGUAGUUCGAUCCCCCUAGCAUCUUCCAAACCCUUGAUCUCUUCUGUUAAAAAGUCUUUUGAUAGAUUACUUUCCUCGCAGUUGUGAAGCUCAUCGGAGAACCGGUUCAGCAUUUCAACAAACCGAGCAGUCCCGUGCUUCGUGUUGUCCUCGGGGUAUUCAUCAAAUUCCCCCCUCCAAAGAAGUUUCUUCAGGGAUUCUUUAGCUGCUUGAAUGAUCCUCAUCAUAGCUUGAGUGGCAUCAGCAAUAGAAGUUAAGGCCUUUGGCAUUUUCUCUAGCUCUGAAACAUUUGCAUCCAGCUUUGCACUAAUGUUUUUAACAAUCUCUGGCAAGCACUUUGCAAUCGCAUUAGCUUGAAUUCGGACAAGAUUUUGAGCCAAAACAUGAACCCCCACAAUUGAUUUAUCAAUACGUGACAAAUGUGCAUUAGUUUCGAACAAUCUAGCCUCUUCCUUCCUUGCCUCUUCAUAGGAUUCAUCACCAAUCCGAUUCCGAACACAAACAUAACCAAGUCCUAUAUUCACAUCAUCUGCAGUAACCUUGUCAACAAGCCCUUCGGGGGCCCUAUCUACUUUAGUAACCACGGCAAGAGUUCUCUCACCAUUCUUGUCCACUUGUUGCGACAUCCUAAUGGAUUCACAAGUUGAAAAAUCAACCGUAGCCGACAGAACAUUAAGGAUAAUGCUUUCCUUUGGUGUUAUGUACUGCAUGAUGAUGUCCCGGAUCUGCUCAUAUAUGUUGUCGGGCUGACCAUGGACAGGAACUCUGGUAAUUCCAGGAAGAUCAACCAUGGUAAGAUCAGGAACCCCAUCUUUUCUCACCACCAAAGUCAAAGGGAUGUCAGAUAUGCUCUUACCCGGGCCUGCAACCUCAUCCGUUGCAAUGUUUAUGGCUGUUGCAAUCUGGGGUUCCUCCACUGGGACCGUUUUGCCAUUGUACUCCAAGUAGAGCUCUGGCCUUGGACUUGCAUGGUUCUGCAACCUGAUUAUGAGAGGUACCCUGGUGCAAAUGCCCUGGCUACGAGGAAGGUUAACACCAGCCAAGGAUUCAAGAACACUAGACUUGCCUGAUGACUGGUCUCCAACCACAACAAUUGUGGGGAGCUGUAUGCCUUCUUUCAUCACCAUGAGCAGCCUGAGCCUGUCGAUGACGUCAAGCAAAGGUCGGAUUUUGUCAUUGUAUGAUGAAAUAAUUGGGGCUUGAACUGCUGCUGCUCCCACCACCUUAGGUUCUUCCAUAGAAGGAGUUGCUGGUUGAGAAUCUUCAUAAUCAUUGAUGACACCAAUGGUCCCUGAAUCAGCUUCAUCAUAGCUUCCCAUUUUCUAGAAGUCGAGACAGGACGGGAAUUGGCCAAACUUGAUGUUUUAGAUGGUUUUUUUUGUUGGAAGUUGGAAAGCAAUAAACUUGAACUAAAGUGAAGACAAAUUCAAUGAAGCAUGUUUGGCUUUAUAAUGAAAAUUAAAAUAGGGUAAAGCACCAAAAAUAGGAACAAUAAAGCGAUAUCAUCCGAUACGAUUACAUCUGGAAGUUUUUCUUUUAGCUCAGCAAUAGCUUGUUGAAGAAGUUGAUUAUGAUAGAUUUAAAAAUUAUUCAACUCCUUUAAAAUUAUAUAAUUUAAUUUUGGCCUAAAAAAAAAAAAGUCUUGACUUCGUCCCUUUCGUAUACCGACUCUAAGACAAAAAAAAUCAUUUUAUUAAUUAAGCUUUUUUGUUUAUUAAUAAUUUGUUUUUUUCAAAUUCAUUAAAUACAAUUAAAAAUAUUUGAAAGAAAAAUCUAGUCGUAGAUCAGAUAAUUAAAAUAAUAUCUAGCAGAGAGGUCGAUGUUCGAGUAUUUGUUAAAAUUCUUAGGUAACUAGAGGUAAUAAUUUAUUUGAUCAUUUAUUUUUAAUAGAGUGAGGAAACUCAAUUAUCUCUAUUUUUAAUAGAGCGAUUUUUGUUUUUACAUGAAGAAUUUCGUGGAAUUUUGUAUCGUGGAAAAUGGAAAUCAAUGGAAAAGGACGAUAAGGCUGGGUUUGUCUGUCGUACGGCCUGCCUUUGUCUGAAACUUGCUUACGAAGGAGUUAGUGGGGUUAUCCGCUGUGCUCAAUCUUAAAAAACAAUAUUUAACACCUGCAUUUUCCACUUAUCUCAGUGAUAAUGCGAUAAUUGGAAAAUUUUACAAAUUUACAAAAAAAAAAUAUAAAUAAAAUUAUAAAAAGUAUACAUAAUUUUGAAAAUAAAUGAUCAUUGGCUUCAUUUUGAUAUUUUAACCUUUAAUCAUUUUAUUUUAUAUAAAAAAAUUAAACUGAUAAAAAAUUGAUUUCAAAUUAUUUUUAUUUUUAUUUUCCAAUUUUUAGUGUAAAUAUUGAUUUUUGUGUAAUUUUUUGUACUUCAAUUGUUAAAGUAUGUAGUUUGAUACAUAAUUAUUGUUGUUAAUUUAUGAUUGCUAUGAAUGGGAUGCAUUGGGUUUGAAAUAUUUUAAGUAAAUUAUCAAAUUUUAUAACAUUAGUUAAAAUUAAAAGAAUAUAUAUUUACUCUCUUUUUUUUCUUUGGAUCUUGCUUUGUGGAUUAGAUAACAAAUAUUGGUGUUUGAUUAUGUUUGAUAAUAUCUACUUUUUUUUAUACAAUUUCUAGAAGUACUUGUAGCCCCUCUUAAGCCAUAAGUAGAAGGUUAAUAUGCUUCAGCGCACAAAAACUUACAUGUCUUCCUGCAUUGGCAAUUGAGUUUGUAAUAGCCAAUUUUUGCCCGACCCACUAAGAAAACAAACAAUAAAACAAACAAAAAAAUAAAGUCCCAAAAUUACAACAAACAAAACCAGGCCUAAAAUUAAACAAACCCAACAGGCCCAAAAAUUUUAAAAAAAAACUUAGCCCAAACAGCAUUAACAUUUGCAGCAGAAAGGAGCAAACCCUAGCCCCCAAGCCUCCAGCGCCGCAAGAACCAAGCUCCCUCACGCACACCACCACCGCUGCUAGCCAAUCGUUGGCCUUCCACGCGCGUCAGACCUCUUGCAAAGAGAAAUCAAUGCAAGACGGUAGAAACAAUAACAAAACGACAAAAAAAUAUAACUUAUGAGUCUUGUAACUUGGCUAUAAAAGCCGAAGUAUCCUCUUUGUAACUUUUUUACACACACUAGAAAUCAAAAGCCGAAUAGAAAUCUUAAAAGGUUGACCCUUUACUAUUUCUACUACGUUUUCUUGUUUUUCUUUUCUUUUCUUUAUCUAUUUUCUUUUAUUUUAUUUUUUACAAAUCCAUUUUAAAUAAUUAUAAUAAAAAUCAAAAUAAAGAAAAGGAAAGGAAAACCUUACCUGGAACCGCCGCGUGGCCCUGUUGACGGAGGUCCCUUUGCCGUCGUCGGAGUCGAGCUAAAAGGGGUGGUUAGAUUCCUCCUUUUUCUUUCGGCCUCUCAUCACCGGUACCGUCCACCGGACUUAAAAGGGGGUUAAAAGCCCCGUCUUUCGCCACUGCCCGUCGACCAUGGCGGCGGCGCUCUCUGCUAAUCAGAGAAAGUGAGGGGAGAGUAGAGAAAAUGAGAGUUUUAGGGUUUUUUUUAAGUUUAAAAAAAAUUGAUUUUAUAAGACAUUGAAAAGGCGUCGUUUCAGCAGGCCUCCCCAGGCGCCAAAACAGUGUCGUUUUGGGGAGGCCAACCUGUGACCCGACCUGCAGCCCACAGGAUCCGAGUGUUUUUGCAGUGAAUGGGAAAAUUGUGCGCGAGGUCCCUCCAUCUUGUGCCUGAAGUGCAAUUUGACUCUUUUUAUUUUUUUUGAUUUGGGCCGCGAAUUUUGUGUCUAUUUCAAUCUACCCUUUUGGCCAUAUGCGGUCUUUUGCAUUGAAACGCUGCGCUCUAGGACUGGGGCAUAUUGCACGAUCAGUCCUCCAGCCUUUAAGCGCAUUCAAUUUCAGCCCCCAUAGCAACCUGUUUUAUUUAUUUGCAAUUUAUACCCGAAUUUCGUUUCAAUUUCAAUUCGAUCCUUAGUCAUUUAGUUAUUUAUUUUUUAAAAUAAAAGGGGGCUGUUUUAUUUGAUUUUUUUUUUACUUAUUUAGUAGAUUUCAACCCUUUUUAAGUCAGAUUUAUAUUAGUUUAUUUAUUUACUUGCUUCUUAUUUUCCUUUUAGGUUGGCUUGUUAUUUUACUUUUUGCCCUUCUUCUUCUUCUUCUUCUUCUUCUUCUUCUUCUUCUUCUUCUUCUUCUUCUUCUUCUUCUUCUUCUUCUUCUUAUUAUUAUUAUUAUUAUUAUUAUUAUUAUUAUUAUUAUUAUUAUUAUUAUUGUUGUUGUUGUGGUUAUUAUUAUUAUUAUUAUUAUUAUUAUUGUUGUUGUUGUGGUUAUUAUUAUUAUUAUUAUUAUUAUUAUUAUUAUUACUACUGGCACCAUUCUCAUUAUUGUUUAUGCUUGUUAACUUUAUGAUUCGUUAACAUUAGUGUUAGGUAUGUUACAUUUUAUUAUGAACAUUACGUCAUGGUUAUUUAAAAUGAAUGUUGUACUAUCAUAUUUAGCCAUGUAUAACUCCUUUUACGUAUUAAACGAUUUCUAUAAAAAAUAAUAAAUUAAACGUACAUUUUUAUCCAAUUCAAAAAUUUCAAAAUAAGGUAAUAUUUAGCGUUUGAAAAUUUGAGAAAACGUGCCCUAACGUGCUGGGUUUCGAUUUUUCGUUCGACCAAAUCACUAAAUAUUCUCUUAAAUUUUCAAAGUACAGGUUUUGGGAACUAUAAGGUAAUCUUGGUUUCGAGGAUUAAAAUAUUGUAUCCUAACGUGUUGGAUGUAAUAUUCCUUCAAAACAAGAGAAUUCUAAAUUUCAACCCUUGUUAUUCGAGUUUUAUUUUUGGAUCGUAUUUUAAAAAAAAACUCCUCAAAGUUUUCAAUCUUCGACAUUUAGACAUCUAUUAAUUGAUUAGGUACCAAUUUUUGGGCGCAUUGAGGGUGCUAACCCUUCCUCCUGCGUAAUCGACUCCCGGACCCGAUUUCUUAAAAUAUCGUAAACCAAAAUCAUUGUUUUGAUAAAAUCGAAUUUUUUUGUUAAAACAACUAUUACGAGGUGAUCCGAUCACAUCUAAACAAAAAGGACCGGUGGCGACUCCAUUUUCGUUUUCACAAUUUAAAUCGACCCUAUUUUCAAAAAAAUAGUUUCGACAAUGUUUGUUUUUAUCUGUUAGAAAAUUCUAUUAAUAUAUUGAAGAAUGAUAUUACAGAAUAUUUAGUAAAAUAAUUUGUAUUAAUAAUAGUUAAUUAUGCCUUUGUGGCUAAGCUCAUGGAAAUCAUUUAAAAAUAAAAUCUAAUAAAUAAUUAAACAUAUGAUUUAAAAUUAAUAAUAAUAACAAAGUAAUAUGUAUGGAAUUUAAAUAGCUAAAUACAUUUGAUUAAGAUUUAUGUUUUGUUCUAAAUUUGGUUUCUUAAUACUUCUUCUGAAUAAGUUGGUAUUGAGUUGAUUCAUGAUACCAAUUUAGUCGCAUGGUUAAAUAACUAUAUAGGUAAAAAGUUAAAUAUUUAAGAUGAUCGAUGCCUUGUGAAAAUAACACCAUUUAAAUUUAUAUAAAUGCAUGAAAAUUACAAAAAAUACUCAAUAACAAUAUUUAUUAAUAAUUUAAAUUUUGAUUUUUUUAGUUUUCUUUUAUUCAAUUGGUGUCAAGUUAAAUCGUGACACUAACUCAGUCAGUCACACACUUAAAAAAUAAUAUAAAUACAUAGAAUAUGACGUGAGUGAUAGACCAAUUUUAUGUAAAAUUUUAAUAUAAAAUAACAAUAAAGGUUUGAUUGAAACGGAAAAAUUAAAUAUUUAAGUUGCUUGAUGUCUUAUGCAAAGGUUUAAAUCGCAUCAUUUGCUUAUUUCCCUAAGUUUAAGUUGUUCCUUAUAACUUUUAUAAAAAUGUGUGAAAAUACAAAAACACCCUAUGAUAAUGUUUAUUAAUUGUUUAAAAUUUGAGUUUUUAGUACUUUCUCUAAUUAAAUUAGUGUCGAGUUGAUUCGUAACAUCAACUCAAUCACACUUAAAUUAAAGUUUAGAUGCAUAGAACACCAGGUGAGUGAGAGUGAUAGACGUGAUUUAUGAAAAAAUUUCAUGUAAAAUAACAAUAAAGUUUUGGUUAAAAUAAUAAAUUUAAUUUGUAAUAUUUAAAAUGAUAAAUUUACACAUAGAAUACUUGCCAUUUGCAUAUUUUUCAUAAGUUUAUUUUAUUUUUUAAAAUAAAUUUUAUAUAAAGGUAUGAAAUGCAAAAGCACCUUCUAAUAACAUUUAUUAAUCGUUAAAAUUUUGAUUUUUUAAGUACUUUGCCUAAUCGAGUUGGUGUCGAGUUAGUCCAUGAUAUAACUGAUAUGAGCCAAGGAGGUGACACUCAAGGGGUUAUUUUUCCUUGUGGUCCAAUCACUCGAAGCAGGGCACGACAAUUAAAAUAAAAAAUGAAUGCUUUUGUCCAAGACUUUGUUGCUACAAAUUUAAGUCUUCAUGUUCGUGAGUUGACAAAUACGGGAAUGCAAUUCACUGGACCAAUCUUGGAAUAGUGAAAGCCCAUAAAUUGGUGGAUUAAUCUUUUAUGUAUCUUAUUAUUAUUAUUUAACUAAAACUUAUGAUAUUUUACAUGAGCAUUUUUAUUGGCCUAACAUGCGAAAACUUGUUGAGAAAAUUUGCUCUACUUGCAUUACAUGUAAACAAGCUAAAUCCACCGUGAUGCCUCAUGGUCUAUAUACUCCUCUUCCUAUUCCUAGUUCACAUUGGACUGACAUUUCAAUGGAUUUUGUAAUAGGUCUACCAAGGACAAAGCGUGGACGAGAUAGCAUCUUUGUGGUUGUGGAUCGAUUUUCUAAAAUGGCUCAUUUCAUUCCAUGCCACAAGACUGAUGAUGCAACCCAUGUUGCCGAUCUAUUUUUUCGUGAAGUUGUGAGAUUACAUGGAAUCCCAAGGACUAUCGUUUCCGAUAGAGAUGCAAAAUUUCUUAGUCACUUUUGGAAGGUGUUAUGGGGUAAGUUAGGUACUAAACUACUUUACUCUACUACAUGCCACCCUCAAACUGAUGGUCAAACCGAGGUGGUAAAUCGAGUUUUGGGAUCUUUGCUUAGAGCCAUAAUAGGUAAGAAUGUUAAAUCUUGGGAAGAAUGGAUACCCUAUGUUGAGUUUGCUUAUAAUCGUGCUGUUCAUUCUUCCACAGGUUUUACUCCUUUUGAGAUUGUAUAUGGCUUUAAUCCACUUACUGUUUUAGAUUUGCUUCCUUUACCUUUAAAUGAGAUUGCUAAUUUAGAUGGUGAAAGGAAAGCUGAUUUAGUGAAAGAGAUCCAUGAGAAGGCUCGUAAAGCCAUUGAGAAAAAGAAUGAGUCCAAUGCACAUCGAGCUAAUAAAGGGCGAAAGCAAGUCUUGUUUGAACCUGGAGAUUGGGUAUGGGUGCAUAUGAGGAAGGAACGAUUUCCUUCUAAGAGAAAGAAUAAACUUGAUGCACGAGGAGAUGGACCAUUCCAAGUACUCGAGAAAAUAAAUGACAAUGCUUAUCGCAUUGAUCUUCCUGGUGAGUAUAGUGUUAGUGCUACUUUCAAUGUUUCUGAUCUUUCUCCUUUUGAAUUUGAUGUAGGUUCAGAUUCAAGGACGAAUCUUCUUGAAGAGGGGGAGAAUGAUAUGAGCCAAGGAGGUGACACUCAAGGGGUUAUUUUUCCUUGUGGUCCAAUCACUCGAAGCAAGGCACGACAAUUAAAAUAAAAAAUGAAUGCUUUUGUCCAAGACUUUGUUGCUACAAAUUUAAGUCUUCAUGUUCGACGUUGACAAAUACGGGAAUGCAAUUCACUGGACCAAUUUUGAAAUAGUGAAAGCCCAUAAAUUGGUGGAUUAAUCUUUUAUGUAUCUUAUUAUUAUUAUUUAGUUAAUUUUAUUGGAUUAUUAUUUAUUUAUUUUCUUAUAUAAUUUUAAAGAAAUUUAUUAGGAUUCAAUUACUAUUGAAAGAGUUUUAUUAGGAUUCAAUUACACUUGUAAUUUGCCUAUAAAUAGGCUUACUUUCUACACAUUGAAGACAGAAUGAAAAAAGAGAUAAUUUAUUUUCUUCCAAAUUUGUGUGAGGCAAAUUUUUGUGAGUAGAGUGAUUCUUCUCUUGCUAUUUAGUUUGGAGUCUGUUACUUUCGAGGGUAUUUCGGAGUUACAAAUAUUCAAAUUUCUUUCCCGUUCAUCGGUGUUUCUAGAGGUUCUUCUUCUAGGGGUUUCGUAGGGAGCCGCUCAAUCAUUGGCGUUUUUGGUUACAAGUUAACCAAGGGUUCCAUAAGGCAAAUCUAUCAUUUUUAUUAUUUAUUUAUUAUUAUUUUAACUAAUUUUAUUUAUUCUCGUUUUAUUUCUAAUGUUUCUCUUGUGUCUAGAUCCAGGAUUCCGCAUCAAUAACUUAGACACAUAAUUAGACAACAGUGUAAAAGUGUAGAUACAUAAAUCACAAUAAGCGUGAUAAGUAAAUUGUAUGUAAAAAAACUCAUAUAAAUAUUAUAUUAAUAGAUGAGAACAUCUGUAUUUAAAAAAAAAUCCAGAAAGAUGAUUGCAUACCAAGGCUUGGAACAUUGCAAUCUUGGUACACAAAAAAGCAAAAAAAAAUUAAGCAAUAAGAUUUCAUAGAGCUAUAAAAUGUAUACAACAGUAAAUUAACACAAAAAAAAAAAACAAAGUAGAAAACUAACCCCCACCCCCCCAAUUUGCCGUCCACAGUAGUUGUGACCUUAUUAUAUAAUCUUCAAUUCUUAAUAAUCUAUACUAUAUAUGUAUAGAACACAGACACUUAAAACAUGCAAUAAGCAAACCAUGAUGAUGACCCAAAUUUUAUGUGAAAAUAUUAAACCAAGCAAGCAUCAUAAGCAACAAUCCUAUCCAUGAUCUUGGCCACACUAUCUUUGGACUCCUUUAACACCUUGAUGCUGUUUUUAAGCUUCUCACGCUUUGCAACAAUGGCAGGAGAUUCCACCAGCAUCAUCUUUAUCCCAUGUCCAUCUGGUCCCAUCAGCUCCUUCACAAUCUCAUCAAUGUCAUUGUGUACAAGAUUAUGAACAUGGUAUCGUAAAUGCAAUGCCAUGGAAUCAACCAAUCUCACCUUAAAUACCUUCCAAUAAGCAACCAUUCUCAUCUUCAGGUCGAAAGCUUGUUGCAGGAUCGAAACAUCCGAGUGUUUUCUAAGAUGUUCGAUUUGGAUUUCCCCUAAACCUUGGAGAUCCACACUGCAAGGCAGCGGCCGCAUGUUUGUUCCAGAUAUUUGGUUUAUGAAAUGGUCUUGUUGCUUCAUGAGCUUAUUCCACUCCAUCAUGUAAUCAGGGUUACAUGUAUAGCCUGUUAGCUUCUCCAUUUCUACAAUCUCUUUCACCCUAUUGAUUGAUUGCUCCCUCAGCUUUUGAACAAGGUUGUGAGCAGCUCCUUUCGCGGAUACCUUGAGGUGAUAAUACAUUUCCGAGUGGCGCGUCAAAACAGACAUCACCACAUCGUCUAUGUAAUCCCAAUACUUUUCGCUGAGUUUGAUAGGGAGAUACGAUAUCCUCUCGACUUUU